UACGUAGGGGGCAAGCGUUGUCCGGAUUUAUUGGGCGUAAAGAGCGUGUAGGCGGCCGCACAGGUCCGUUGUGAAAACUGGAGGCUUAACCUUCAGACGUCGAUGGAAACCGUGCGGCUAGAGUCCGGAAGAGGAGAAUGGAAUUCCUGGUGUAGCGGUGAAAUGCGCAGAUAUCAGGAAGAACACCCGUGGCUAAGGCGGGUCUCUGGGCCGAUACUGACGCUGAGGAGCGAAAGCGUGGGGAGCAAACAGG
rnacentral:rRNA from 1 species